rnacentral:lncRNA from 1 species
AUGUACCACUUUCCCCACAUGAAAAUAGCCAACUAUUUUUCUAAACUAUUCUGUCCUCAGAGGCAGAUGAAUCAACACACAGGCAGGACGGGCUUUUUCCUUGACACGAGAUGUAUUACCUUCNNNNNNAGAAAUGCCUGCUGUGAAUCGAGCUGUCCUUCAGUUGCCAAAGCAGGAACCAAGUGACAAAAGAGCUCACUGCCAGCCCCAUUUCUACCGUGGUUCAUGACAUAUUUUCUCCUGCUAUCUGUCUGUCUGUCUCAAGCUUCCUCUCAGCUUAAUGAAUUUUUAAAAGGGCACCUCUUAAACACAACUGCCUGAAACCAUGUUUCUCAUCCUUUUGCAAGGCCAAACCGAACAUAUUUAAAUUGCUCGUGACUUUUAAACACAUAGACGCCAGAUAAAUUAUGAAAGCAUUACACAUUCUAAUGUACACACUGUAUCCGUAGAACACAUUUUUCCAAUUUUAUCUUAUUCUCUCUGAGAAAAGUUUUAUUAGCAUGUAAUAGCCAAUUGUUUAUAUUUUAUCCUACUUUCCUCUAUUUUAUCCUAGCUUUCCUCUCUUUUAACCAAUUUCUUUUUUGUAAAUAAACCAACUGUCUUAAACUAAAGCUCUGCACACUGCACAAUUUACAAAAUCAAAACGUAAGAUUCAAUAGGUCUUAGCACAGGGACAGAUCUGUACAAGUGAAAGCAUAAUCAAACAGGUCAUUUUUCUCAUCCCAGGGCAAAGCACUCUACCCACUGUCAUCUCCCAAGCCUUCCCUCCUAAAUCCAGGCACCGCUGAGCUACUGUCUAUUUUCAUAGAGUUUCCUCUUCUGGGAAUUCUUUUUUUCGUUUUUCAAAAUAGACCUUACUCAUAAUGACUUUUUUUUUUUAAACCAAAUUUUUGUGGUUUUAAUAGGGCCUGGAAAAGUGGAAAUUUCAUCUCCGCAGGUCUGAUACACUAUUUCCCAGAUUUGGAAGGGCACCUC